rnacentral:lncRNA from 1 species
AUGCAUGCCCUAAAUUUCCCUUCUCACUCUUCCUUGGGCAAUUUCCUGCAGCUGAAGAAGCCCCUUCUGGGGGGAAGGCCGCUUCGUGCAGGAGCUGUUUCCCCCUUUGAACACCGGAGCCGCAGCCCGGCGUUACGAGCCCUCCGGCAGCCGCCGGGUGUUUCCCGCAGUGCGGGGCCGUGCCGGCAGCACGCAGCCCCAGCCGGGCAGCCAGGGCCGUGCCGCCGGGCUCCGGGCGGCGCCGCUGCCGCAGGUACCGCCCGCAGCGCCUCACAGCCCGGCACGAGGGGGCCGCCGGGGGGCCGGCAGGCAGCGCGGAGCAGCCGGGAAAGAGUUAAGGGAAGGUGGCGGGGCAGGCCGGCUGCCGGGAGCGAGCAUGUGCAGAGUGCGGCCGCAUCGGCACCGCGGGCGAGCGGGGCGGCCGCGCUUCGCCUCCCGCCGCCGGCCGCGGGGCGCCCAUGGAGCCCGGAAGGCUGCCUGCUUGGCGUAUUAGCUGUUGGUCACACGCAGCGGGCUCGGAAGCGGCAGGCGUCUGAGGAGGCUUGGACCUGCUGGAGACAACCCGGCUGCUCUGCGGAUGCUGUGAGCCAGGAGCAAAGCGGGGCCCAAAAGCGGGAGAGCUCCAGGAUCCCUCCCCAGAAGAGGUAAGAGCUGGGGGCUGAAAGCAGCGGGAGUGGGCUCUAGGGCAGAAAAUCAGAGCAGUUCUCCAAGCACAGAGGUGAAUGGGUUGUGAACGUGACCUUUGAAAUUCAAAUGUGCAGAGUGGAUGGGUGAUGGUCAAGAGGUGAAGUGAUUUCCACCAGUUCAAUCUUUGAGUUGCUUUUCGGAGGUGUAAAUAAGGUCACUGUUUGCACACGUUGCCCUUGAUUUCAUUCUGCUUUGUGUCACGUUGUUCUGAUCGCUCGUAAUUUGUAUUGCCAAACUUAUUCCAGUGCUAUUGUCUCUUUAAAACCUCACACACACACGGCCUCAGGCAGUUAAAACAAUCAGGACAGUGGAACAGUGUCUCUGAACUAAAGGAGAGCAGUAGGUAAAGAGCGGAGGGUUGAUUUCUCUGGUAGAAGCCCAGGUGUGAGUCAGAUGAUGUGCAGUCUAUUCCUGGCCCUACCAAGCAGUGCAGUCUCUGCACCUGAUUCACCAACGUGCUACUCUGCUAAUCUUCUCAGGCUCAGCUUGCCUCUGUCUGUUGCAGCCUGCUACACUUGCGUAGAGUGGAUGUAAAACGCUAUCAAAUCAGAAGGUGAUUUAAAACCUGGAGCAAAGCUUUACAUUGAUCCUGGCAGAUGGGCUGGACACUGCGGGACCACGACGGCAGUCUGCACACCCUGCUGCCUUUUCAGAGCACUCUGUGAGUCUGUGGUACGUGGUGUGGUGCCCAACAGGGGGCUAAGUGCUGGUGCUCUGAUACGGCUUGCAGUUCAAGCUAUAGUCUUGUUUUCUGUGUGGUGGGUGAGGCUUCGUGGUAGAUCGUGCACAGUGCUCUAUCUGACUGGGAGCUCGCUUUGAAUUUUCCUUAUGCACCACCUCCACAUGCAGACUUGCGUAGCACCUGCCUCCCUCAGCCUGCCCUCUGCCUCAGGGGUCUCAUUGCCAUCUCUCAAUGACCAAGCUGACCAAGUCAGCUGCUGGAGGAAAGCAGCAGGCUGAACUGUGGCAACGCUCGUGGUGAGGGGUCAGCUGCUGCCUCGGGCUCUGGGUGUGUUUGUGCUGCUGGUUGUGUAGCCGAACAUGGGGCUUCAGUUGGUCAAAACACGUCACUGCUGAGCAGUAAGGCUCGGGCCAGUGCUGCAAGGUUAUGACAAAGCAAGUGUCAGCAGCUUCCCGGGAAGGUUGCUGCUGCUGGACUGAGCCCUGGAACGAAUCCAGCCGUUUUGUCAACGAUGCAGCUCUGAGUGCUUCUGAAGAAAGCCGUGUCUGGCAAGCGCUGUGGUGUAUGGUGCUAUUGCUGCGAGUGGAGCAAAUGCUGCUUAUCGCAUGCCCUCAAGAGCCAUCAAAGGAAGCGCAGACGUCUCCUAUUACUGUUAAAACAAAAACUGAGUUCCGCAUGGGCACAAGAAAACAUAGAUCCAUUGGCAGCAGAACAAGACUAUGAAUAAUUCAUUCCUCCAGUGCCUCCUGUAUGUUCCAUCCACUCAGGCUGUUCAGGAUGCUGGCUGCUGGAGAUGGAGACAGAUCUGCUUCCACAGCCACGGGGACAUGACCCUGCAGGCUGUGAUCAGCACUCUGCUCACCUUGCCCUCCACAAAACUGGCUUGUGCACUGUUGUUGUGACAUCCUUGAGGACACAGCGGUAACCUUUGAUCAUACUGUGGGCUGCUGGUAAGAACUCAAGUAGCACCAACAAAACUGGGAUGCAUCCACUAAUAGCAGCCUGGAAUUGUCUGUGAGGUGGGGGAAAUGAGUCAGGACCAAGGUGGAAGAGUUGACUGCUCUUGCCUGUUUUGCGAAAGGUGGUAAGGGGGUCAUCUGCUGUAAGCCUUCUGAGCACAGCUAGGGUUUGAUUUUUCCUUCCAUGUGGAGUACCUUAGUGAAGAAAGUAUUGGGAACUUCUGUAAAAUACAUUUAUUUAUUUUUUCUCGACUCAUUUACUAGUGGUCGUUUGUCUGCAUAGUAGUUAGAAACCUUGUUGGCAGCUGAAGCUGAAAGGUGCCAAAAACUUAUGAUACUGCAGAGGCUAAAUUCUCUGCUCAUAGCAUGAGCUGCGCUGAGCUCAAGUAAGAGGUGCAACAGGAGCUCAGGGUGAGAGAAAGCUUUGCUGAAGGUUCAUUCAGAGAUUGUUCUUCAGCACAACAUACACAGAUGUGGAGGGGUUUCUACUCUGUUUUGCUUUUUCCCUCUGACUUGUUGGUAUGAAGAUUGCUUCAGCCAUGUCAUGUACCCAGGCUGCAACAUGCAUACCAUACUGCAGAGUUUUGGCUAUUUUUUUUCCCCAUUUUCCUUCUACAUCUUCCAGAUUUACUCUUAGCUAUUAGACUUGCUGAGAGGUAUUUACACUUUUAGUGUGGGUAAAGCUACCUGUAACUAGCAGCUUCUACAGAAAUGAUGGGCUUCUUAAAGCAAAGAAGAGGUGACUUGUAAUGUCCCCUACUUGAUUUUGAGAGCAGUUCAAAUGUUCUUCCACAAAUAUAAGCUCUGAGGAAGGAAACUCAAAGGCAUUUCAAUCAAGUCACUAUAACUCCCAACCUGUAAAAAGGGUUUGUCCUCCUGUGAUCUGGGCAGCAGCGAGAAGAGGAUAGACUGGAAGAAUACUUAUUUUUUUUUAAACUGGAGAAAGAAGUAGACAAACAGAGCAGGCGGUGGAUUUGUGGUUUCCAUAGUGAUGUAACUGUGGAAGCUUUUGUACGGCUGAGUCACAGUUGAAGGCUGUGAGUAUUCAGCUCUUCUGCCAGGGAAGUGUAAAUGUACAUCAAACAUAGAAAUGGCUGAAAAAUGCAACUGCCAGUCUGUCAUUUAUUAUGUUCGUCACGUUACCUGAAUACAUGGAUGUCAGGAAGCUUGGCUGUAUCGUGGCUUAUUUCUCCUUUCCGUUGUCCUGUGCUGUAACAAUGCGUGUGAUAAUGCUGUGACACUACCACAAUUCUUGUACCAGUCAGUGAUAUGCUGACCUGUGUCCUUUGCUUACUUCUCACGUGUACGUGCAUCCGUGACUCUACUCAUCCACACUGAUCUCAAACAAGCACUGAUCAAGGAACAUAUACCUAAGUUUUUCAGCAUGUUAACUGAUCUCAGUACCAUCCUGUGAAGCUGGGCAUGUGUGCUUAAUGCUUUGUGUAAUCAUUGCCUUAGCUGUUCCUGUGCAAAACAGAAAUAAG